CUUAGAUUAGACAAAAUUAAUAGUGGCACGUGUAUUUAUUUUGUCCAUACAUCUUAUAAGAGCACAUAUCUAUGAGAUCCAACGUAAUCACCGGCGACACCAUCUUAUUUAGAUGCAUGCUCUGAUAUAUGUGCUCACAUUUUCCUCUCUUCUUCAUAAGCACCAGCAACACCAUCUUCUUCACAUAAACACCGGCAGCACAAUCUUCUUCCGACUCCAUUUUCUUCAGAUUCAGAGAAUGUCUACCACGUCCCUUCAGUUCAGCACUACCCUCACUCAUUCCACUACCAGUACAACGACCAUCACCACUGUUUCCUUCUUCUUCAUCCCCUGUUAUAUCUAAUAAUGAUAAAUACCAAAAAAUUUGAUCAAUUUUUUAUAAGUUUCGAUCAAAAUUAAUGAGUAUCCGGAGAAAUUAGUGAUUAUUACUGAAUUAGCAAAUUUGGUUGGACUCAGAUAGGUUUAUGAUGGAGGAAGACUCUAAUAGGUUUUGUUGGCCGGAAAUUCAAUUGGAGUGGUUGUAGUUGUUGUUGAGUUUGUUGUAACAGAUGGUUGAGGAAUUUGUUGUGGUUUAAACAGAUAAAGAUGAAACUGCUGUUGGUGGUGAUGAAUUAAUGUGUAUGAAUUCACUUACAAGGAAACAGAGAAUUUGUUCUUUCCAAGAAAUGAGAAAACAGAUGGUGAAUGAUGUUGAUAUGGUGGUACUAAAGAAGAGUUAAAUUCUGUGGUUAUUGAGUCUCGGAGAUUUGAGUUGAAGAGUAAUUUUUAAUGGUCGAUAUUGAAGUUGUACAAUAAUUUAUGGAUAUUGUGGUUUGGUUAUGAAUUCAGGGGUGCAAUUGGUGACGGUAUUGGAUGGAAAUCUUGAGAAGAAGCAGCACAAAUGGCUCAAGAAUGGUGGUGAUGACGUUGCUGCUAAUGAUGAACAAAACUGGUGUCAUGGGUUUUUGUGUUUUUGAUUUUGAGCAGGUUUCAAGGAGCUACAGAAGUUGGUGAUGGAAUUGUGGGUUCAGAUGCCUACCUUGCCUUAACCAAUUUGUGAACUACGAAACUGUUAUCAACGACAUCAAAAUCGACAACCACGUCUUCAUCUUCAAUAUUGGCUAACAAAUCACUUAAAACUUUUGAGUCUAUUGAUGAUCUGGUUUUACCUUCCAAGAAGUCUGUUGGAUUAUACGAAUGCGCAUUCUAUCUCGUAACCUCUUUGUAACUUAUCCGCAUCUUGAGUUUUCAUCCCAAAACUUGUCACCAAGUUCAUCAGUGAGAGUUAUAUCUACUUCAAUGUCCUUCGUUGAUGCAAUCUCCUCGAGCCGAACACCAUAGCAUAAUAAAGAAACGAUGGUUCUUAUAUCAGCUUCAGACACGCCUUGUCGUUUGUAUUUAUUGUUUUCUAUUAGCAUGUUUCUGAGACUGAUGUUUUUGCA